GGGGAAUAUUGGGCAAUGGGCGAAAGCCUGACCCAGCGACGCCGCGUGAAGGAUGAAGGUCUUCGGAUUGUAAACUUCUUUGAUCAGGGAAGAAAGAAAUGACGGUACCUGAAAAACAAGCCACGGCUAACUACGUGCCAGCAGCCGCGGUAAUACGUAGGUGGCAAGCGUUGUCCGGGUUUACUGGGUGUAAAGGGCGUGUAGGCGGGGAUGCAAGUCAGAUGUGAAAUCCCGCGGCUCAACCGCGGAACUGCAUCUGAAACUGCGUCUCUUGAGUGUCGGAAGGGAAAGUGGAAUUCCUAGUGUAGCGGUGAAAUGCGUAGAUAUUAGGAGGAACACCGGUGGCGAAGGCGACUUUCUGGACGAUAACUGACGCUGAGACGCGAAAGCGUGGGGAGCAAAC
rnacentral:rRNA from 1 species